UAAGCGGAGGAAAAGAAACUAACAAGGAUUCCCCUAGUAACGGCGAGCGAACAGGGAAGAGCUCAAAUUUGUAAUCUGGCGUCCUUCGGGCGUCCGAGUUGUAAUCUAUAGAAGUGUUUUCCGUGCUGGACCAUGUCCAAGUCCCUUGGAACAGGGCAUCAGAGAGGGUGAUAAUCCCGUCCUUGACAUGACAACCAGUGCUCUGUGAUACACUUUCUACGAGUCGAGUUGUUUGGGAAUGCAGCUCAAAAUGGGUGGUGAGUUCCAUCUAAAGCUAAAUAUUGGCGAGAGACCGAUAGCGAACAAGUACCGUGAGGGAAAGAUGAAAAGCACUUUGGAAAGAGAGUUAAACAGUACGUGAAAUUGUUAAAAGGGAAACGAUUGAAGUCAGUCGUGUCCAUGGGGUUCAGCCAGUUCUGCUGGUGUAUUCCCCUUGGACGGGUCAACAUCAGUUUGGACCGGCGGAAAAUGGCGGGAGGAAUGUAGCAGCUCCGGUUGUGUUAUAGCCUCUUGUCGUAUACGUUGGUCUGGACUGAGGAAUGCAGCUUGCCUUUAUGGCCGGGGUUCGCCCACGUUCGAGCUUAGGAUGUUGACAUAAUGGCUUUAAACGACCCGUCUUGAAACACG
rnacentral:rRNA from 1 species